AAGGGCUAUAGCUCAGUUGGUAGAGCACCUCGUUUACACGCGCCGAGAAGGUCUACGGUUCGAGUCCGUAUAGCCCUAA
rnacentral:tRNA from 1 species